GCAUUCAUGGGGUAGUGGUAACCUGGGUCGUUGCGAUUGAUCCGACGGGGGUUCGAUUCCCCAGCAAUGCA
rnacentral:tRNA from 1 species